rnacentral:rRNA from 1 species
UACAUGGGGUGCAAACGUUGCUCGGAAUUAUUGGGCGUAAAGCGCGCGUAGGCGGUUACUCAAGUCGGAUGUGAAAGCCCUCGGCUUAACUGAGGAAGUGCACCCGAAACUGAGUAGCUAGAGUACUAAAGAGGGUCGCGGAAUUCCCGGUGUAGAGGUGAAAUUCGUAGAUAUCGGGAGGAACACCGGUGGCGAAGGCGGCUUUUUGGGCCGUUCCUGACGCUGAGGCGCGAAAGCCAGGGGAGCGAACGGG